rnacentral:rRNA from 1 species
UCUGAGAAUUUGAUCUUGGUUCAGAUUGAACGCUGGCGGCGUGGAUGAGGCAUGCAAGUCGAACGGAAUAAUGACUUCGGUUGUUAUUUAGUGGCGGAAGGGUUAGUAAUACAUAGAUAAUCUGUCCUCAACUUGGGAAUAACGGUUGGAAACGACCGCUAAUACCGAAUGUGGUAUGUUUAGGCAUCUAAAACAUAUUAAAGAAGGGGAUCUUCGGACCUUUCGGUUGAGGGAGAGUCUAUGGGAUAUCAGCUUGUUGGUGGGGUAAUGGCCUACCAAGGCUUUGACGUCUAGGCGGAUUGAGAGAUUGACCGCCAACACUGGGACUGAGACACUGCCCAGACUUCUACGGAAGGCUGCAGUCGAGAAUCUUUCGCAAUGGACGAAAGUCUGACGAAGCGACGCCGCGUGUGUGAUGAAGGCUCUAGGGUUGUAAAGCACUUUCGCUUGGGAAUAAGAGAGAUUGGCUAAUAUCCAAUCGAUUUGAGCGUACCAGGUAAAGAAGCACCGGCUAACUCCGUGCCAGCAGCUGCGGUAAUACGGAGGGUGCUAGCGUUAAUCGGAUUUAUUGGGCGUAAAGGGCGUGUAGGCGGAAAGGAAAGUUAGAUGUUAAAUCUUGGGGCUCAACCCCAAGCCAGCAUCUAAUACUAUCUUUCUAGAGGGUAGAUGGAGAAAAGGGAAUUCCACGUGUAGCGGUGAAAUGCGUAGAUAUGUGGAAGAACACCAGUGGCGAAGGCGCUUUUCUAAUUUACACCUGACGCUAAGGCGCGAAAGCAAGGGGAGCAAACAGGAUUAGAUACCCUGGUAGUCCUUGCCGUAAACGAUGCAUACUUGAUGUGGAUAGUCUCAACCCUAUCCGUGUCGUAGCUAACGCGUUAAGUAUGCCGCCUGAGGAGUACACUCGCAAGGGUGAAACUCAAAAGAAUUGACGGGGGCCCGCACAAGCAGUGGAGCAUGUGGUUUAAUUCGAUGCAACGCGAAGAACCUUACCUGGGCUUGACAUGUAUUUGACCGCGGCAGAAAUGUCGUUUUCCGCAAGGACAGAUACACAGGUGCUGCAUGGCUGUCGUCAGCUCGUGCCGUGAGGUGUUGGGUUAAGUCCCGCAACGAGCGCAACCCUUAUCGUUAGUUGCCAACACUUAGGGUGGGAACUCUAACGAGACUGCCUGGGUUAACCAGGAGGAAGGCGAGGAUGACGUCAAGUCAGCAUGGCCCUUAUGCCCAGGGCUACACACGUGCUACAAUGGCCAGUACAGAAGGUAGCAAUAUCGUGAGAUGGAGCAAAUCCUCAAAGCUGGCCCCAGUUCGGAUUGUAGUCUGCAACUCGACUACAUGAAGUCGGAAUUGCUAGUAAUGGCGUGUCAGCUAUAACGCCGUGAAUACGUUCCCGGGCCUUGUACACACCGCCCGUCACAUCAUGGGAGUUGGUUUUGCCUUAAGUCGUUGACUCAACCUGCAAAGGAGAGAGGCGCCCAAGGUGAGGCUGAUGACUGGGAUGAAGUCGUAACAAGGUAGCCCUACCGGAAGGUGGGGCUGGAUCACCUCCUU